UACGUAGGGGGACGAGCGUUGUCCGGAAUUAUUGGGCGUAAAGAGCGUGUAGGCGGUCCGGUAAGUCCGCUGUGAAAGUCGGGGGGCUCAACCCUCGAAUGCCGGUGGAUACUGUCGGGCUAGAGUGCGGAAGAGGCGAGUGGAAUUCCUGGUGUAGCGGUGAAAUGCGCAGAUAUCAGGAGGAACACCGGUGGCGAAGGCGGGUCUCUGGGCCGAUACUGACGCUGAGGAGCGAAAGCGUGGGGAGCGAACAGG
rnacentral:rRNA from 1 species